GACGUAGGGGGCGAGCGUUGUCCGGAUUUAUUGGGCGUAAAGAGCUCGUAGGCGGCUCAGAAAGUCGGGUGUGAAACCUCCAGGCUCAACCUGGAGACGCCACCUGAUACUGCUGUGGCUAGAGUCCGGUAGGGGAACACGGAAUACCCGGUGUAGCGGUGAAAUGCUUAGAUAUCGGGUGGAACACCAGUGGCGAAGGCGGUGUUCUGGGCCGGAACUGACGCUGAGGAGCGAAAGCGUGGGUAGCGAACAGG
rnacentral:rRNA from 1 species